GCCACAUUGGCUUGGUCAGUAGAGCAUGCAGUUCUUGAUAUCAGCGCUGUGGGUUCGAGCCCCACAUUGGGCA